rnacentral:rRNA from 1 species
UACGUAGGGUGCGAGCGUUAAUCGGAAUUACUGGGCGUAAAGCGUGCGCAGGCGGUUCGCCAAGUCAGGUGUGAAAUCCCCGGGCUUAACCUGGGAAUUGCGCUUGAAACUAGCGGGCUUGAGUGUGGGCAGAGGGGGGUGGGAAUUCCACGUGUAGCAGUGAAAUGCGUAGAGAUGUGGAGGAACACCGAUGGCGAAGGCAGCCCCCUGGGUCAACACUGACGCUCAUGCACGAAAGCGUGGGGAGCAAACAGG